UAGGGAAUCUUCCGCAAUGGACGAAAGUCUGACGGAGCAACGCCGCGUGAGUGAUGAAGGUUUUCGGAUCGUAAAGCUCUGUUGCCAGGGAAGAACGCUUGGGAGAGUAACUGCUCUCAAGGUGACGGUACCUGAGAAGAAAGCCCCGGCUAACUACGUG
rnacentral:rRNA from 1 species